UCGAUCGAUGCUAGUGAUGCUCUGUCGAUCGAUGUUGCGUACCCAUCCUCGAUCCUCGUGCAAACUUGUCUUCCUCGGAUCUUUUCCCUUUUACCUAACAUAAAUAAAACACUAAAAGUCAGUAAAAGAUAACUAAUAAAACCAAUCCAAUUUUUUUUUCAAUGAACAGUGACUGCUACAGUAACUCCCGAUUUUUUGCUACAGUGUCGGUUGAUAUUCUUGCUAUAGUGUCGCUCGAUUUUUUUGCUACAGUGUCGCUCGGCACUGUAGCAGUGCCGUCGUUACUGUUCACUUUUUAUUUUUUUGACCUGCAUAAAAAUGAAAACAAAAAUCAGUAAUAAUCUAACAUAAACUGAAUGAAAUUACCUAAUAGUGGGUUGCCUUCCACUCAAUUCUUAUUUUUAGUCAUUAGCUUGACUUUUGGAUAUCUGAUUUAGUCUGGAUGAGGAUGUGAACUUGCUUCAGAACAAGUCUCAGU
rnacentral:lncRNA from 1 species